rnacentral:rRNA from 1 species
UACGAAGGGUGCUAGCGUUGUUCGGAAUCACUGGGCGUAAAGCGCACGUAGGCGGAUGUGUCAGUCAGGGGUGAAAUCCCGGAGCUCAACUUCGGAACUGCCUUUGAUACAGCACGUCUUGAGUCCGGAAGAGGUGGGUGGAAUUCCUAGUGUAGAGGUGAAAUUCGUAGAUAUUAGGAAGAACACCGGUGGCGAAGGCGACUCACUGGACACAUAUUGACGCUGAGGUGCGAAAGCGUGGGGAGCAAACAGG